GUUGUGGUCUUCAGUGAUAGAAAUACAAAGAAAUCAUCUCACUGAGCCAUAAAAAAUUUCAGAUACUAAAAAUUCAAAGAUCAAAGAAAUAUAAGGUAGCAUAUAUUAGUCUGAGCCAAGAAGCUGAUAAAUAACAAGUUAAAAGUAAAAUAGUAAAGUAACCAAACUGCUUGAAAAGUGAAAUUCAAAGAAGAAAGAGCUAGAAAGAAACCAAUCUAUCUUGUGAUAUGCGCGAUGAAAGAAUCCAACUCUAUUUGAGAAGCACCCCCUUUCUCUGUGGACUGUCUUACAGCUUCUCCCAAUUCUUCUGCUCUUUUUCUGAUCAGGUCACCUUCUUCUGAUGCCAUCAACU